UUGUAUUAAUUUUCUUUGUUAAUGCAAUUGUUUGUUAUUUGCACUUAAUGCUUUUAAGUAUUAUUAUCUUUGGUACUUGAUUGAUUUUGAUUUAUAAUUGGUAAUGGGAAGGAAGAUUAUAAAUUGGAGUUAAUAACAAACAUCAUAGGAAUAAUAAUUGGAGCGGGAGCAGAAGAUUUGACCUAUGGGAUCUUGAAAAUAAUCACUGUGCU
rnacentral:lncRNA from 1 species